CUUCAGCGAGCCGAGAUAGAGCGGCUGCGCCCGGUUCUGGCCGUAGGUGGCGAGCACCGCCUGCGCCUC
rnacentral:antisense_RNA from 1 species